rnacentral:rRNA from 1 species
CACCUGAUUGACGAUGGAUCACCAGUGAGUGGCGGACGGGUGAGUAACACGUAGGUAACCUGCCCCGGAGCGGGGGAUAACAUUUGGAAACAGAUGCUAAUACCGCAUAACAAUAAAAGCCGCAUGGCUUUUAUUUGAAAGAUGGCUUUGGCUAUCACUCUGGGAUGGACCUGCGGUGCAUUAGCUAGUUGGUAAGGUAACGGCUUACCAAGGCGAUGAUGCAUAGCCGAGUUGAGAGACUGAUCGGCC